rnacentral:rRNA from 1 species
GACGAACGCUGGCGGCGUGCUUAACACAUGCAAGUCGAACGGUGAAGGGGAGCUUGCUCCCCGGAUCAGUGGCGAACGGGUGAGUAACACGUGGGCAACCUGCCCCAGACUUCGGGAUAACGCUUCGAAAGAGGUGCUAAUACCGGAUACGAACUCCUUGGGCAUCCUGGGAGUUGGAAAGUUUUUCGGUCUGGGAUGGGCCCGCGGCCUAUCAGCUAGCUGGUGAGGUAACGGCUCACCAAGGCGACGACGGGUAGCCGGCCUGAGAGGGCGACCGGCCACACUGGGACUGAGACACGGCCCAGACUCCUACGGGAGGCAGCAGUGGGGAAUAUUGCGCAAUGGGCGAAAGCCUGACGCAGCAACGCCGCGUGAGGGAUGACGGCCUUCGGGUUGUAAACCUCUUUCAGCAGGGAAGAAGCGAAAGUGACGGUACCUGCAGAAGAAGCACCGGCUAACUACGUGCCAGCAGCCGCCGUAACAC